AGGACGAACGCUGGCGGCGUGCUUAACACAUGCAAGUCGAGCGGAAAGGCCCUUCGGGGUACUCGAGCGGCGAACGGGUGAGUAACACGUGAGUAAUCUGCCCCUAGCUCUGGGAUAGCUCCGGGAAACCGGGAUUAAUACCGGAUACGACCACUUUAGACAUCUGUUGUGGUGGAAAGAAUUUUGGCUAGGGAUGAGCUCGCGGCCUAUCAGCUUGUUGGUGGGGUAACGGCCUACCAAGGCGACGACGGGUAGCCGGCCUGAGAGGGCGACCGGCCACGACGUGGGACUGAGACACGGCCCAGACUCCUACGGGAGGCAGCAGUGGGGAAUAUUGCGCAAUGGGCGAAAGCCUGACGCAGCGACGCCGCGUGGGGGAUGAAGGCCUUCGGGUUGUAAACCCCUUUCAGCAGGGACGAAGCGAAAGUGACGGUACCUGCAGAAGAAGCGCCGGCUAACUACGUGCCAGCAGCCGC
rnacentral:rRNA from 1 species